UGGGGAAUCUUGCGCAAUGGGCGAAAGCCUGACGCAGCAACGCCGCGUGCGGGAUGACGGCCUUCGUGGUUGUAAACCGCUUUCAGCAGGGACGAAAAUGACGGUACCUGCAGAAGAAGCCCCGGCUAACUACGUGCCAGCAGCCGCGGUAAUACGUAGGGGGCAAGCGUUGUCCGGAUUCAUUGGGCGUAAAGAGCUCGUAGGCGGUUCAGUAAGUCGGGUGUGAAAGCUCCGAGCUCAACUCGGAGAGGCCACCCGAUACUGCUGUGACUUGAGUCCAGUAGAGGAGCGUGGAACUCCUGGUGUAGCGGUGGAAUGCGCAGAUAUCAGGAAGAACACCUGCAGCGAAGGCGGCGCUCUGGGCUGGAACUGACGCUGAGGAGCGAAAGCGUGGGUAGCAAACAGG
rnacentral:rRNA from 1 species